GACGAACGCUGGCGGCGUGCUUAACACAUGCAAGUCGAACGGAAAGGCCCUGCUUUUGUGGGGUGCUCGAGUGGCGAACGGGUGAGUAACACGUGAGUAACCUGCCCUUGACUUUGGGAUAACUUCAGGAAACUGGGGCUAAUACCGGAUAGGAGCUCCUGCUGCAUGGUGGGGGUUGGAAAGUUUCGGCGGUUGGGGAUGGACUCGCGGCUUAUCAGCUUGUUGGUGGGGUAGUGGCUUACCAAGGCUUUGACGGGUAGCCGGCCUGAGAGGGUGACCGGCCACAUUGGGACUGAGAUACGGCCCAGACUCCUACGGGAGGCAGCAGUGGGGAAUAUUGCACAAUGGGCGGAAGCCUGAUGCAGCAACGCCGCGUGCGGGAUGACGGCCUUCGGGUUGUAAACCGCUUUCGCCUGUGACGAAGCGUGAGUGACGGUAAUGGGUAAAGAAGCACCGGCUAACUACGUGCCAGCAGCCGCGGUGAUACGUAGGGUGCGAGCGUUGUCCGGAUUUAUUGGGCGUAAAGGGCUCGUAGGUGGUUGAUCGCGUCGGAAGUGUAAUCUUGGGGCUUAACCCUGAGCGUGCUUUCGAUACGGGUUGACUUGAGGAAGGUAGGGGAGAAUGGAAUUCCUGGUGGAGCGGUGGAAUGCGCAGAUAUCAGGAGAACACCAGUGGCGAAGGCGUUUCUCUGGCCCUUUCCUGACGCUGAGGAGCGAAAGCGUGGGGAGCGAACAGGCUUAGAUACCCUGGUAGUCCACGCUGUAAACGGUGGGUACUAGGUGUGGGGUCCAUUCCACGGGUUCCGUGCCGUAGCUAACGCUUUAAGUACCCCGCCUGGGGAGUACGGCCGCAAGGCUAAAACUCAAAGGAAUUGACGGGGCCCCGCACAAGCGGCGGAGCAUGCGGAUUAAUUCGAUGCAACGCGUAGGACCUUACCUGGGUUUGACAUGGAUCGGGAGUGCUCAGAGAUGGGUGUGCCUCUUUUGGGGUCGGUUCACAGGUGGUGCAUGGCUGUCGUCAGCUCGUGUCGUGAGAUGUUGGGUUAAGUCCCGCAACGAGCGCAACCCUUGUUCACUGUUGCCAGCACGUUAUGGUGGGGACUCAGUGGAGACCGCCGGGGUCAACUCGGAGGAAGGUGGGGAUGACGUCAAGUCAUCAUGCCCCUUAUGUCCAGGGCUUCACGCAUGCUACAAUGGCUGGUACAGAGAGUGGCGAGCCUGUGAGGGUGAGCGAAUCUCGGAAAGCCGGUCUCAGUUCGGAUUGGGGUCUGCAACUCGACCUCAUGAAGUCGGAGUCGCUAGUAAUCGCAGAUCAGCAACGCUGCGGUGAAUACGUUCCCGGG
rnacentral:rRNA from 1 species